rnacentral:rRNA from 1 species
CCCUUAGAUGUUCUGGGCGGCCCGCGCACUACAUUGGCACUCUCAAUAAGUUCCUAGAUCUAAAACUUUGGGGUAUUCUAUUAAGUGGUGUCGUGACUGGGAUUAACCCUUGCAAUUAUUGGUUACGAACGAGGAAUUCCUUGUAAUCGCGGUUUAUCAGCCCGCGUUGAAUGCGUCCCUGCCCUUUGUACACACCGCCCGUCGCUCCUACCGAUGAAUCGUCCGGUGAAGUUCGUAGACCUCGUGAUCGCGGAUCACUGGGGGAAGCAAAAUGAACCUCGCGGUUUAGAGGAAGGAGAAGUCGUAACA